CACCAGGUUGAUUCUGCCUGACGUGGACGCUUGCCUCAAGGAUUAAGCCAUGCAAGCCAGCGAAGUUUAACGGAGCGGCGAACGGCUCAGUAGGACAGGGAUAUCUGACCACGGCAGGGGAUAACCGCGGUAAGCUGCGGCUAAUACGAGCGUGGGUGAGUUCCUGGCCUAUCAGCUAGGCGGUACGGUAAGUGCGUACCGCGGCGACGACGGGUAACGGGGAAUCGGGGUUUGAUUCCGGAGAGGGAGCCUGAGAGAUGGCUGCCACGUCCAAGGACGGCAGCAGGCGCGAAACUUACCCACUUGGAGGACCAGAGGUAGUGACGAGGCGUGAACCAUGAGGCCAGUGCAAACAGCUGGCCGAAAGCGACUGGAGGGCAAGUCUGGUGCCAGCAGCCGCGGUAAUUCCAGCUCCAGGAGCGUCUGUGUGCGUUGCUGCGGUUAAAACGUGCGUAGUCGGGCACAGGGCCAGCAUCAAAUGCGCAGUCUCUUGCUGUGCGGCGUGCUGGAACCUACGCCUAGGGACCGGAGCGGGGCAAUGGUAUUCGGCAGCGAGGGGUGAAAACCGAUGACCUGCCGAGGAGCGACAGAGGCGAAGGCGGUUGUCCGGGACGGGUCCGACGAUCAAGCGCGUGAGCAGGAGGAUCGAAGGCGAUUAGAGACCGUCGUAGUUCCUGCAGUAAACGAUGCCGACGGGGGCGCAGGCGCUGUGCCCCAAGGGAAACCGAGUGUAUGGGCUCCGGGGAUAGUACGGGCGCAAGCCGGAAACUUGAAGAAAUUGACGGAAGGACACCACAAGGAGUGGAGUGUGCGGGUUAAUUUGACUCAACGCGGGGCAACUUACCGGGGCAGGCAACACUGCGAGGAGGGGUGCGAUAGGAUCGUGCUCCUGAGGGUGUUGCGCGUGGUGCAUGGCCGUUCUUAACACGUGGGGUGACCUGUCUGGUUAAAUCCGAUAACGCGUGAGACCCUGGAUAGUGACGGCAUUCGAUGAGAGUGAGGAAGCGCGGGUCGAUAACAGGUCUGUGAUGCCCGUAGAUGUCCCGGGCGCCACGCGCACUACAGUGGGGGAGGCUGCGUGAGACGGGGCUCCCCUGUGGUGGGGAUCGGCGCUUGUAAGUGCGCCGUGAACGCGGAAUUCCUAGUAGCGUGCUGUCACCAACGGCAGGCGAAUGCGUCCCUGUUCUUUGUACACACCGCCCGUCGUUAUCUAAGAUGGAUGUGCGGAUGAAGGCGGCUAGGUCGCAAGAAUCCGUGCCACUAGAUUGGAUACAAGUCGUAACAAGGUNNNNNNNNNNNNNNNNNNNNNNNNNNNNNNN
rnacentral:rRNA from 1 species